AUUGAACGCUGGCGGCAGGCCUAACACAUGCAAGUCGAACGAGUGGCGGACGGGUGAGUAAUGUCUUGGAAACUGCCUGAUGGAGGGGGAUAACUACUGGAAACGGUAGCUAAUACCGCAUACCAUCGGGUGUGCCCAGGUGGGAUUAGCUAGUAGGUGGGGUAAAGGCUCACCUAGGCGACGAUCCCUAGCUGGUCUGAGAGGAUGACCAUCCACACUGGAACUGAGACACGGUCCAGACUCCGACGUGAGGCAGCAGUGGGGAAGAUGUCACAAUGGGCGCAAGCCUGAUGCAGCCAUGCCGCGUGUAUGAAGAAGGCCUUCGGGUUGUAAAGUCCUUUCAGCAGGGAGGCGUUACCCGCAGAAGAAGCACCGGCUAACUCCGUGCCAGCAGCCGCGGUAAUUC
rnacentral:rRNA from 1 species